AACAGUCCGUGGCACGGUAAACUCCUCCCGGAGCUAGGCCAAAUAGGGGUUCAUAAGGUACGGCCCGUACUGAACCCGGGUAGGCUUCUUGAGCCAGUGAGCGAUUGCUGGCCUAGAUGAAGGACUGUCCACGACAGAACCCGGCUUAUCGGUCAGUUUCACUC
rnacentral:RNase_P_RNA from 1 species